rnacentral:rRNA from 1 species
CAGUCGACGGACCUUUCGGGGUUAGUGGCGGACGGGUGAGUAACACGUGGGAACGUGCCUUUAGGUUCGGAAUAAGCUCGGGAAACUGGGUCUAAUACCGAAUGUGCCCUUCGGGGGAAAGAUUUAUCGCCUUUAGAGCGGCCCGCGUCUGAUUAGCUAGUUGGUAGUGUAAUGGACUACCAAGGCGACGAUCAGUAGCUGGUCUGAGAGGAUGACCAGCCACAUUGGGACUGAGACACGGCCCAAACUCCUACGGGAGGCAGCAGUGGGGAAUCUUGCGCAAUGGGCGAAAGCCUGACGCAGCCAUGCCGCGUGUAUGAUGAAGGUCUUAGGAUUGUAAAAUACUUUCACCGGUGAAGAUAAUGACUGUAGCCGGAGAAGAAGCCCCGGCUAACUUCGUGCCAGCAGCCGCGGUAAUACGAAGGGGGCUAGCGUUGCUCGGAAUUACUGGGCGUAAAGGGAGCGUAGGCGGACAUUUAAGUCAGGGGUGAAAUCCCAGAGCUCAACUCUGGAACUGCCUUUGAUACUGGGUGUCUUGAGUGUGAUAGAGGUAUGUGGAACUCCGAGUGUAGAGGUGAAAUUCGUAGAUAUUCGGAAGAACACCAGUGGCGAAGGCGACAUACUGGAUCAUUACUGACGCUGAGGCUCGAAAGCGUGGGGAGCAAACAGGAUUAGAUACCCUGGUAGUCCACGCCGUAAACGAUGAUUGCUAGUUGUCGGGGAGUUUACUUCUCGGUGACGCAGCUAACGCAUUAAGCAAUCCGCCUGGGGAGUACGGUCGCAAGAUUAAAACUCAAAGGAAUUG